GCAUUUGCCCAGCUAUAAAGGAGGAGGUUGGGCUUCUAGUUGGCCCAUCUGUGCCUGACUAUCUGAUGUUUGUUGAGAAAUACAAGAAAGACAACGCAACUCUGGAAAAUGCUAAAAAUCUGAAGACAUGUGUUGACAACAAGCUGACAGAGGAAGACAAGGAGAAUGUACUCAGUUUGCUGGCUAAAAUAGAUGCUAACAAAUACUGUUGAUGAAUCCAUCUGUGCCAGAAGACUCAAGGAAGCCACUUGCCUGCUCACCUGCAUAGAUGCAGCAAGCCCUACCCUACCCUCCAGGUGUCUAAACCAGGAUUCCAACAAUAAAAGCCUUGCAAUUCA